rnacentral:rRNA from 1 species
AUUGAACGCUGGCGGCAUGCUUUACACAUGCAAGUCGAACGGCAGCGCGGGCUUCGGCCUGGCGGCGAGUGGCGAACGGGUGAGUAAUGCAUCGGAACGUGCCCAGUAGUGGGGGAUAGCCCGGCGAAAGCCGGAUUAAUACCGCAUACGACCUGAGGGUGAAAGCGGGGGACCGAAAGGCCUCGCGCUAUUGGAGCGGCCGAUGUCGGAUUAGCUAGUUGGUGGGGUAAAGGCUUACCAAGGCGACGAUCCGUAGCUGGUCUGAGAGGACGACCAGCCACACUGGGACUGAGACACGGCCCAGACUCCUACGGGAGGCAGCAGUGAGGAAUUUUGGACAAUGGGGGCAACCCUGAUCCAGCCAUGCCGCGUGCGGGAAGAAGGCCUUCGGGUUGUAAACCGCUUUUGUUCGGGAAGAAAUCCUCUGGGCUAAUACCCCGGGGGGAUGACGGUACCGGAAGAAUAAGCACCGGCUAACUACGUG